rnacentral:rRNA from 1 species
UACGUAGGGGGCAAGCGUUGUCCGGAUUUAUUGGGCGUAAAGAGCGUGUAGGCGGCCAGACAGGUCCGUUGUGAAAACUCGAGGCUCAACCUCUGGAGGCCAAUGGAUACUGCCCGGGCUAGAGUCCGGAAGAGGCGAGUGGAAUUCCUGGUGUAGCGGUGGAAUGCGCAGAUAUCAGGAGGAACACCAAUGGCGAAGGCAGCUCGCUGGGACGGUACUGACGCUGAGGUGCGAAAGCGUGGGGAGCGAACAGG